rnacentral:rRNA from 1 species
AGCAUAUCAAUAAGCGGAGGAAAAGAAACUAACAAGGAUUCCCCUAGUAACUGCGAGUGAAGCGGGAAAAGCUCAAAUUUAAAAUCUGGUGGUCUCUGGCCAUCCGAGUUGUAAUCUAGAGAAGUGUUACCCGCGUCGGACCGUGUAUAAGUCUCCUGGAAUGGAGCGUCAUAGAGGGUGAGAAUCCCGUCUUUGACACGGACUACCGAGGCUUUGUGGUAUGCUCUCAAAGAGUCGAGUUGUUUGGGAAUGCAGCUCAAAAUGGGUGGUAAAUUCCAUCUAAAGCUAAAUAUUGGCGAGAGACCGAUAGCGAACAAGUACCGUGAGGGAAAGAUGAAAAGAACUUUGGAAAGAGAGUUAAACAGUACGUGAAAUUGCUGAAAGGGAAACGCUUGAAGUCAGUCGCGUUGGCCGGGAAUCAGCCUUGCUUUUGCUUGGUGUACUUUCUGGUUGACGGGCCAGCAUCAGUUUUGACCGGUGGAAAAAGUUCAGGGGAAUGUGGCAUCUUCGGGUGUGUUAUAGCCCUUGUUCGUAUACAUCGGUUGGGACUGAGGAACUCAGCACGCCGCAAGGCCGGGUCUUUGACCACGUUCGUGCUUAGGAUGCUGGCAUAAUGGCUUUAAUCGACCCGUCUUGAAACACGGACCAAGGAGUCUAACAUGCCUGCGAGUGUUUGGGUGGAAAACCCGAGCGCGUAAUGAAAGUGAAAGUUGAGAUCCUUGUCAUGGGGAGCAUCGACGCCCGGACCUGACGUUUUCUGACGGCCCUGCGGUAGAGCAUGUAUGUUGGGACCCGAAAGAUGGUGAACUAUGCCUGAAUAGGGUGAAGCCAGAGGAAACUCUGGUGGAGGCUCGUAGCGAUUCUGACGUGCAAAUCGAUCGUCAAAUUUGGGUAUAGGGGGCGAAAGACUAAUCUAAUCAUCUAGUAGCUGGUUCCCUGCC